UACGGGGGGGGGCAAGCGUUGUUCGGAAUUACUGGGCGUAAAGGGCGCGUAGGUGGCCAACUAAGUCAGACGUGAAAUCCCUCGGCUUAACCGGGGAACUGCGUCUGAUACUGGAUGGCUUGAGUUUGGGAGAGGGACGCGGAAUUCCAGGUGUAGCGGUUGAAAUGCGUAGAUAUCUGGAGGAACACCGGUGGCGAAGGCGGCGUGC
rnacentral:rRNA from 1 species